UACGUAGGGGGCAAGCGUUGUUCGGAAUUACUGGGCGUAAAGGGCGCGUAGGCGGUCUGUUAAGUUCGGUGUGAAAGCCCCCGGCUCACCUGGGGGAACUGCGCCGGAAACCGACAGACUCGAGUACCGGAGAGGAGGGUGGAAUUCCUGGUGUAGCGGUGAAAUGCGUAGAUAUCAGGAGGAACACCGGUGGCGAAGGCGGCCCUCUGGACGGAUACUGACGCUGAGGCGCGAAAGCGUGGGGAUCAAACAGG
rnacentral:rRNA from 1 species